AAAGAAGAUUUGAGAGCUGCUGCACUGAAGCACAGGAUGCUUUUGAGCUCUAUAAAAAUAAAGGUCCCAUGGAUGUGACAGGGCAGAGAGGAAGAUACAGGGGCACAGCAGUUAUACCCUACCUAAGCGUGUAUGUAGAUAGAGGAAGAAGAACGGCAACUAACAACCAGCUAAUUGCAGCGUGCGGGGCAGGGGGAGGAUGGCUGGGACCUAACUUGUCACCCAGUCGUGGACUCUGUGGAUGCCGUGCCGUGACGGAGGGCCGAGGGCUGAGCCGAGGAUUUGCAUGUAGGAGGAGAGGCGAUGGCCGUGCAGCGUGCACCCGAGGCUGCUCUCAGCCUGCUGAUGAGGUGGGAACCUUUUUUAAGGGAAGAAAAUUAAGUAGAAUAAACCCAAAAGGUCAACGGUAACAUCAAAGGAGCUCUUUUCUCCAGGGUGAAGACUAUUUAAAUAAAAAAUAAAUAAAUAAGUAAAAAAUAAUAAUA
rnacentral:lncRNA from 1 species